GACGGUCAGCAGCAGCAGCCGGGUCCCCGGACCCCCGAGCAUCUUCAGACGGUGAGGCAACUUGCCACCGAGUUUGGUUCCCUCCGCAACCUGCGGGCGGAGUCCCUUUCAGUGCCGCCAAGAAGCUUAUUAUAUCCUUUUCUACCUGUCUGCUCUUUGAGAACACAUUUUACUUCUCUUGGAACAUGAUGUCAAAGAAUGAAGCUGGAGGAAAGUUUAAGCUUGAAUCCUCAAGGGAAAAAAGACACCACAGGAAACAAAUACUAGAACCACAGCUUCUCCAGGUGUUGAACUAAAUGGUUAUUAAGUUAAUUGCAUGGAACGCUGCAUGGAGCACGUGAUAGAUGCUCAAACAAUACCUGUUGGGAGGUUAGAUGAUGAAGUACCCACAAGCCAGAGGUGACAAUUCCUGGGGUCCCGUUGGACUGGAGUGACCCACACAGGGCAUGUGACAGCCCCAGCAAGGUCAACUGCAUGGAAGAGCAGAGAAGCAAUAAAGAUUUCAAUGGCCAGGCUCCAUGCCUAGGGGAGCAAAAAGGAACGCAGGCUUGUCUGGUUCUUCUUACCAAAUUUACAAAUUCAGUAAGUCACUUCAUUUCUCCAGAGGAGAGACAGAAUGAGAAAAAUGUCAGAGAGUUACCAGGACUGUGCUUGUGGAAACUCAUUAGGUACAGAGUAAAGAUGUCCCCUUUCUUAAUCUACAGUCAUAAUCAUUACUAGUUAUAUUCUCUAGAAACAAACCUUUGUGAAAUUUUUUAAAUCUUAGAA